UACGGGGGGGGGCAAGCGUUGUUCGGAAUUACUGGGCGUAAAGGGCUCGUAGGUGGCCAACUAAGUCAGACGUGAAAUCCCUCGGCUUAACCGGGGAACUGCGUCUGAUACUGGAUGGCUUGAAUUCGGGAGAGGGAUGCAGAAUUCCAGGUGUAGCGGUGAAAUGCGUAGAUAUCUGGAGGAACACCGGUGGCGAAGGCGGCAUCCUGGACCGGUAUUGACGCUGAGGCGCGAAAGCCAGGGGAGCAAACGGG
rnacentral:rRNA from 1 species